CGCUGUGGUUGUAGUGGGAGCCGCAGUGGUUGUAGUGGGAGCCGCAGUGGUUGUAGUGGGAGGCACGGUGGUUGUAGUGGGAGCAGCUGUGGUUGUAGUGGGAGCCGCUGUGGUUGUAGUGGGAGCCGCAGUGGUUGUAGUGGGAGCGCUGUGCUUGUAGUGGGAGAUGCUGUGGUUGUUGUGGGAGCCGCUGUGGUUGUAGUGGGAGCCGCUGUGGUUGUAGUGGGAGCCGCUGUGGUUGUAGUGGGAGCCGCUGUGGUUGUAGUGGGAGUCGCAGUGGUUGUUGUGGGAGCCGCUGUGGUUGUUGUGGGAGUCGCUGUGGUUGUUGUGGGAGCCUCCGUGGUUGUUAUGAGGUAAGCUUUGGUUGUUGUGGGAGACGCUGUGGUUGUAGUGGGAGAUGCUGUGGUUG
ensembl:lncRNA